rnacentral:lncRNA from 1 species
GACUUGUAACUCUUUAGCAGUGUUCUCCUGUAUUUCUUUAAGUGUGUUAGGAUGUCCUGGACUGGGCGAAGUGGGAGUGCUGGGUUCUGAGGAUGGGGGAAGGUGCACAGUUAUCUGGUGUUUGGACCUCCUCCUGGCUGAAGAUGAAGGCCCAAAACAGGAUCUUUCCCAGAAGCUGUGUUGCUUUGGCCAGGAAGGUGGCCGGUUGUCUGGAGCCGAAGAUGGCGCCACCUCAGAAGCUCUGUGGCUCUCGCCUGUCCCAGAAAUGGCUGGCCUCUGUAUUCCACACCGUCACCUGUGCAGUCUGCCCUCCGCGGAGUCCUGGAGCCAAGGAGACUACCUCCGAAGGGGCCUGAGGCACAAACCUCUUGGGCUGGCGGAUCCCUGUGCACUCACCAGGAAGGUGGCCGGUUGUCUGGAGCCGAAGAUGGCGCCGCCUCAGAAGUUUGUGAGUUUUUAUCUCCAGCACUCACAAACAGUGCCUUUUCUUUAAAAUGGUUUCUUUGCCUUAUUA